UACGGAGGGUGCAAGCGUUAUCCGGAUUCACUGGGUUUAAAGGGUGCGUAGGUGGACUUAUAAGUCAGUGGUGAAAGCUCCGAGCUUAACUUGGAAAUUGCCAUUGAUACUGUUAGUCUUGAGUUCGGUUGAGGUAGGCGGAAUAAGUCAUGUAGCGGUGAAAUGCUUAGAUAUGACUUAGAACACCGAUUGCGAAGGCAGCUUACCAAGCCGACACUGACACUGAGGCACGAAAGCGUGGGGAUCAAACAGG
rnacentral:rRNA from 1 species